rnacentral:rRNA from 1 species
GACAGAGGGGGCAAGCGUUGCUCGGAAUCACUGGGCGUAAAGGGCGCGUAGGCGGCCUGCUAAGUCGAACGUGAAAUCCCUGGGCUCAACCCAGGAACUGCGUCCGAUACUGGUUGGCUUGAAUCCGGGAGAGGGAUGCGGAAUUCCAGGUGUAGCGGUGAAAUGCGUAGAUAUCUGGAGGAACACCGGUGGCGAAGGCGGCAUCCUGGACCGGCAUUGACGCUGAGGCGCGAAAGCCAGGGGAGCAAACGGG